rnacentral:rRNA from 1 species
UGAACGCUAUCUACAGGCUUAACACAUGCAAGUCGAGGGGCAUCAGGAAGAAAGCUUGCUUUCUUUGCUGGCGACCGGCGCACGGGUGAGUAACACGUAUCCAACCUGCCCUUUACUCGGGGAUAGCCUUUCGAAAGAAAGAUUAAUACCCGAUAGCAUAAUGAUUCCGCAUGGUUUCAUUAUUAAAGGAUUCCGGUAAAGGAUGGGGAUGCGUUCCAUUAGGUUGUUGGUGAGGUAACGGCCCACCAAGCCUUCGAUGGAUAGGGGUUCUGAGAGGAAGGUCCCCCACAUUGGAACUGAGACACGGUCCAAACUCCUACGGGAGGCAGCAGUGAGGAAUAUUGGUCAAUGGGCGCUAGCCUGAACCAGCCAAGUAGCGUGAAGGAUGAAGGCUCUAUGGGUCGUAAACUUCUUUUAUAUAAGAAUAAAGUGCAGUAUGUAUACUGUUUUGUAUGUAUUAUAUGAAUAAGGAUCGGCUAACUCCGUGCCAGCAGCCGCGGUAAUACGGAGGAUCCGAGCGUUAUCCGGAUUUAUUGGGUUUAAAGGGAGCGUAGGUGGACUGGUAAGUCAGUUGUGAAAGUUUGCGGCUCAACCGUAAAAUUGCAGUUGAUACUGUCAGUCUUGAGUACAGUAGAGGUGGGCGGAAUUCGUGGUGUAGCGGUGAAAUGCUUAGAUAUCACGAAGAACUCCGAUUGCGAAGGCAGCUCACUGGACUGCAACUGACACUGAUGCUCGAAAGUGUGGGUAUCAAACAGGAUUAGAUACCCUGGUAGUCCACACAGUAAACGAUGAAUACUCGCUGUUUGCGAUAUACAGUAAGCGGCCAAGCGAAAGCAUUAAGUAUUCCACCUGGGGAGUACGCCGGCAACGGUGAAACUCAAAGGAAUUGACGGGGGCCCGCACAAGCGGAGGAACAUGUGGUUUAAUUCGAUGAUACGCGAGGAACCUUACCCGGGCUUAAAUUGCAGUGGAAUGAUGUGGAAACAUGUCAGUGAGCAAUCACCGCUGUGAAGGUGCUGCAUGGUUGUCGUCAGCUCGUGCCGUGAGGUGUCGGCUUAAGUGCCAUAACGAGCGCAACCCUUAUCUUUAGUUACUAACAGGUUAUGCUGAGGACUCUAGAGAGACUGCCGUCGUAAGAUGUGAGGAAGGUGGGGAUGACGUCAAAUCAGCACGGCCCUUACGUCCGGGGCUACACACGUGUUACAAUGGGGGGUACAGAAGGCAGCUAGCGGGUGACCGUAUGCUAAUCCCAAAAUCCUCUCUCAGUUCGGAUCGAAGUCUGCAACCCGACUUCGUGAAGCUGGAUUCGCUAGUAAUCGCGCAUCAGCCACGGCGCGGUGAAUACGUUCCCGGGCCUUGUACACACCGCCCGUCAAGCCAUGGGAGCCGGGGGUACCUGAAAUACGUAACCGCAAGGAUCGUCCUAGGGUAAAACUGGUGACUGGGGCUAA